rnacentral:lncRNA from 12 species
CGGUCGACGGUCAGGACAGAGUUCUAGGAAGGCUCAGUCCCCGCUCGGAGACCCAACGACUCGGUGCGGGUUGGACUCACUGCAGGAGGUGGUGCACACCGGGUGGAGCCCCGUAACCGGGCCAGAGGACCAGGGGCGUAGCGCAGACAUCCGCCACCUGGCUUCCAGGAGGAAAAAUCGGGCUUUUAAUCCUCUAGAGCUUUACGAGGCCGACAGAACGCAGGGUCCCAAUUCUGUGCAUUGGGCCAGAGAGAGUAGUAAAUCUGUGUCCUUGAUGCAGUCAGUCAAGAAGACUAUGAGGUGCUAAGGAUUUGGGUUAAGAAGGGUUGACUAUGGUGUCUGCCUUCAGCUACACUGAAGCCAGAAGAUCCUGCCUAAACCCUGCCGAGAACGAUCAGCCCUCUCUGUUUGACAGCCAUGGAAGACAGAAAAAUUAAGUUGUUUUCUUUUUAAUUCCAACUCAAAAAGCACAAAGAGCUGUUUAUGCUUGUUGCCCACGUGACAGUCACUCUCCCUUUUCCCACACACCCACACAUUUGCCUCCCCUAGUCAAAGACUGAAAAGGCAGUUACAAUAAGACUUCAUCAAACGCUUUUCAGACUUGUGGCAACUUUUUGCUUUGUGAAAUCCCGGAACAAGCCUUGGAGUAUCUCCCAGAACAAUAAUUGCUUAUAAGGUAUCCAGUGAAAUUAUAAUAGCUGGAGGCUGUGAAAAAUAAUAAUUUCUUUGGUGAUUACAUAAUGUUUCUAUUUUUUUCCACCAUAGAUUACUAGAGCCACAACUUUUCAAUUUUUUUCCAGUGCGCUUAAUUUGAGCUUUCAAAACUCCUUAUACUCGCCUUCUUACUCUCGUUUUCUUUCUUUUUGUCUUUGCAAGAAAACUAUAAGAAAAGGGGAAUUAAACUGAGUCUUUUAAAACUCAUCUUAUUAUCCAGAAUCUGUUCUGCAAAUCGAACAUGAAAUAAUAUCCAAAUGUGGCUUAAAGUUAGUAGGACUAGUAAGAUUCCCAGAGUCCAAUUUUAUCCUUUGAUAUAAGUCUCAGGAGAUUUUUUAAAAAAACAAAGCAAACUUGAAGAGCCAGAUUCAUUAGAUUCAACCAUAAAAGAUAUGUAAGAAAAUCUGGAUAAUGUUGAGGAGGAUCUGAACUCUUAUGGAGUGUAUGAGGGUUUGAGAAAGUCAGAGUGAUGAGGCUCUAGGUUGUCUUCAUUGGAUUUAAGUUCUCGGUUAACCAGCCCCAUCCUUCCCCUCCAGGGUUAUUUCCUAUUAUUUUCCCUUGUUCUCUCUUUCCAUAUAUACACACACGUGUGUG